CACGUAGGGGGCGAGCGUUGUCCGGAAUUACUGGGCGUAAAGGGCGCGCAGGCUGUUAUGCGAGUCUGCUGUGAAAUGUACCGGCUCAACCGGUGCCUUGCGGCGGAUACUGCAUAGCUGGAGUACUGGAGAGGGAAGUGGAAUUCCCGGUGUAGCGAUGAAAUGCGUAGAUAUCGGGAGGAACACCGGUGGCAAAGGCGGCUUUCUGGCCAGUUACUGACGCUCAUGCGCGAAAGCUGGGGUAGCGAACCGGAUUAGA
rnacentral:rRNA from 1 species